UAGGGAAUCUUCGGCAAUGGACGAAAGUCUGACCGAGCAACGCCGCGUGAGUGAAGAAGGUUUUCGGAUCGUAAAACUCUGUUGUUAGAGAAGAACAAGGACGUUAGUAACUGAACGUCCCCUGACGGUAUCUAACCAGAAAGCCACGGCUAACUACGUGCCAGCAGCCGCGGUAAUACGUAGGUGGCAAGCGUUGUCCGGACUUAUUGGGCGUAAAGCGAGCGCAGGCGGUUACUUAAGUCUGAUGUGAAAGCCCCCGGCUCAACCGGGGAGGGUCAUUGGAAACUGGGAGACUUGAGUGCAGAAGAGGAGAGUGGAAUUCCAUGUGUAGCGGUGCGAUGCGUAGAUAUAUGGCGGAACACCAGUGGCGAAGGCGCCUCUCUGGUCUGUACCUGACGCUGAGGCUCGAAAGCGUGGGGAGCAAACAGG
rnacentral:rRNA from 1 species